ACGAAAAGAACUGCACAUACGGCUGGUUUGACACAACAGUGAUACACGUUUUGUUUUACAAAAUUUAUUUAAAAAAAAUAACAACUAUACGUUACAUUCGAUCUCACUUCAAUGCAACACAAUCACAUUCUACUACAAUGCAAUCUAAUUAGUAAAAAAACAGUCUCAUGACACCGAUAUUGCAUGCGCGCAGGCUACUGUUCUCGGUCCGAAAACACACUAACAUUCACCAACACAUUUUCAUCACACAAUAUCGAUUAACUAAAUAUACUGAUAAUAACAUUACAAACAUUUUUGCGGAGUGAGGUUGUAUUCAUACACGACCUGCGUAUGCAUGUCUGUAGGAAGUUGAAUUUCACAUUGCCGGAUUUUGUCUUGACAAAUGACUCAUAUGCAGUCACAAAUGACUCACAUGCUUGUCGCGUUUAUGUCAUUGACAGCGAUUGAUAUACUACCUUUCUUUCGCUCAAGUUUUUUUCAAAAUUUUAAAUACUCAAUAAGCAAUGCUAACGAGUAGAUAUUAUUAAGGCUGUUACACUGUUGAUCAAGAUUAAACUCAGUGAUUAAACCUCCUGUCAUGAUCGAACUAAAUCGCAUGUUACGAUCUAUGAGCGUUAGAAAACGUAAUUCGGAAAUCUCCCGAUGCACGCAAAGAGUUGUCAUAUGAUCAAACCAUUUAUGGAUAUGAUUAGCGUAAACAAGCAUAAUUCGGAAAUCUCCGAGAAUUCGUGAAUCUGAACACUGGACAAACAUUUUGACGACGUCAUAAGUUAUGACGUCUGUACUUUCCAGUAGAAGCCAAAAUUAAAGUAAUCCAACAUGCAUGAGUGUAAUAAACUUCAUAAAAGAAAACGAUCUUCAGCAUGCAUGGUUCACACUCCACAGCCAUUUUUAUAAAAAAAUUCUAUACUAAGCAAAUAUAUUUACUACACUAUAAAAAUAAGUAGAACCCACAGUGUGUAAAGUUUGCAAUUAAUCCUCCUCUAAAUCCAUACUCUCGUAGAGUGAUGAACUAUACAACGACAGAUUCACGUAAACCU